UACGAAGGGUGCGAACGUUGCUCGGAAUUAUUGGGCGUAAAGCGCACGUAGGCGGUAUUGCAAGUCGGAUGUGAAAUCCCUCGGCUUAACCAAGGAAGUGCAUCCGAAACUGCUGUACUUGAGUACGAAAGAGGAUCGCGGAAUUCCCGGUGUAGAAGUGAAAUUCGUAGAUAUCGGGAGGAACACCAGUGGCGAAGGCGAUCAUCUGGGGUUGUUCUGACACUGAGGAGCGAAAGCUAGGGGAGCAAACGGG
rnacentral:rRNA from 1 species